AGAGAGGUCGACCCAUUCUUGAGACCCGGCGACCCGAUCACGUGACCCGACCGGAGUGACGCCGUCCGGCCACCCCACGACGGCGUGCGGCCACCAGAAGCUUCAUCUCGGUUUCGCCUACCUCCCUACAUCCUCAGAUCGUCCAUGCACCGACGGUGAACGGAGCAACAACGACAGGAAGCCCCGAGCUUUCUCCGGCCACCUCUGCAACUUCCGGCGACCGAUUAAGCUUCAUUUGCCACGGCUUCACCGUGUUCUUCGAUACCAGUGACGUUUCGGGCACUUCUGGGCUUAGUUUCCAUCUCGAGUUCACCUGUAGACGAGGAAUUAAGAGGAUUGCUGGGUUGUUGGCAUCAAAAUCUUCAACUCACCAACGUUCCAGUUCCGGCAAGAGGUUCUGUAAACCCGAGCUUGAUCAACGUAGAGUUUCGAAGGACUCCAGUUACCCGAGGAACAGAAGGUUCGCAACUCUCGGAGUACGUGAGAGAACGCAUCGGAAUCCAGUGUGGAUGCAGGUACUGUGCACUGGUGACGGGACAAUAGCGAAAGGAGCUGGGUGUGUGGAAACAAGUUCGGUAAAUCGUCGUUUGAACCUUAUUCUAAAUUCUAUUUCUCGAACUUCGUAUUCCGAGACUUGUUAAUAGUUAGCCUUGUGUCAAUGUUGGUUGAGUUCUCAUUUCCUUGGAGUUCGUACCUCUUGUGUGAGAACUCAUUUCAAGUUCUAGACGAAUGAAAUAAAUUUUAGCAACUCAAUUAUUUUCACCUCAAAAAUAUUUGUAGCUUCCGCUGUGUUUCUACGAAAAGUUUUCAAACAAAAUGCCUAGCGGUUCUCUAGAAUGUAAAUCAAGUGUUCGGUUUAUGUUUUAGAGGCUCGCGGCACUGUGACGUGCUUAAGCUG